CCCCAGACUCCUACGGGAGGCAGCAGUGGGGAAUAUUGCACAAUGGGGGAAACCCUGAUGCAGCGACGCCGCGUGAGUGAAGAAGUAUUUCGGUAUGUAAAGCUCUAUCAGCAGGGAAGAAAAUGACGGUACCUGACUAAGAAGCCCCGGCUAACUACGUGCCAGCAGCCGCGGUGAUACGUAGGGGGCAAGCGUUAUCCGGAUUUACUGGGUGUAAAGGGAGCGUAGACGGCGAUGCAAGCCAGGAGUGAAAGCCCGGGGCCCAACCCCGGGACUGCUCUUGGAACUGCGUGGCUAGAGUGCAGGAGGGGCAGGCGGAAUUCCUGGUGUAGCGGUGAAAUGCGUAGAUAUCAGGAGGAACACCGGUGGCGAAGGCGGCCUGCUGGACUGCGACUGACGUUGAGGCCCGAAAGCGUGGGGAGCAAACAGGAUUAGAUACCCUGGUAUA
rnacentral:rRNA from 1 species